UACGUAGGGUGCAAGCGUUAAUCGGAAUUACUGGGCGUAAAGCGUGCGCAGGCGGUUAAGUAAGACAGAUGUGAAAUGCCCGGGCUUAACCUGGGAACUGCAUUUGUGACUGCAUGGCUAGAGUGUGGCAGAGGGGGGUAGAAUUCCACGUGUAGCAGUGAAAUGCGUAGAUAUGUGGAGGAACACCGAUGGCGAAGGCAGGUCUCUGGGCUGACACUGACGCUCAUGCACGAAAGCGUGGGGAGCAAACAGG
rnacentral:rRNA from 1 species